UAAUACGUAGGUGGCAAGCGUUGUCCGGAUUUAUUGGGCGUAAAGCGCGCGCAGGCGGUCCGUUAAGUCCGAGGUGAAAUCUCCCGGCUCAACUGGGAGGGGUCUUCGGAUACUGGCGGACUUGAGGAGAGCAGAGGUGAGUGGAAUUCUCGGUGUAGUGGUGAAAUGCGUAGAUAUCGAGAGGAACACCAGUGGCGAAGGCGGCUCACUGGGCUCCACCUGACGCUGAGGCGCGAAAGCGUGGGGAGCGAACCGGAUUAGAUACCCGGGUAGUCCACGCCGUAAACGAUGGGCACUAGGUGUGAGGGGUAUUGACCCCCUUCGUGCCGAAGCUAACGCACUAAGUGCCCCGCCUGGGGAGUACGGCCGCAAGGCUA
rnacentral:rRNA from 1 species